rnacentral:misc_RNA from 1 species
GAUGAAGAACGCAGCGAAAUGCGAUAAGUAAUGUGAAUUGCAGAAUUCAGUGAAUCAUCGAAUCUUUGAACGCACCUUGCACUCCUUGGUAUUCCGAGGAGUACGCCUGUUCGAGUGUUAUGAAGCUCUCAAAACGCAAUUGGCUUAAAACCUGAUUGUUGUUUUGGAUUUGAACUUUGCCGUGUUAUAACGGCUGGUUUUAAAAGUAUUAGCUGGUACUAGAACGAAUUGGUUCUACUCAACGUGAUAAUUAUCUGAUCGUUGAGGACAUUCCUUUCACGGGGAAUGGCCAUAGUAAAUUCAAUGGACUGCUUCUAAUCUGGCUUUAAUUCUUUAUUGGAUUAACCACUUUUCAAAUCUGACCUCGAAUCAGGUGGGACUACCCGCUGAACUUAAGCAUAUCAAUAAGCGGAGGA